rnacentral:rRNA from 1 species
UGGGGAAUUUUGGACAAUGGGCGCAAGCCUGAUCCAGCAAUGCCGCGUGCAGGAUGAAGGCCUUCGGGUUGUAAACUGCUUUUGUACGGAGCGAAAAGGUCUGCCCUAAUACGGUGGGCUCAUGACGGUACCGUAAGAAUAAGCACCGGCUAACUACGUGCCAGCAGCCGCGGUAAUACGUAGGGUGCGAGCGUUAAUCGGAAUUACUGGGCGUAAAGCGCACGUAGGCUGUAGUGUAAGUCAGGGGUGAAAUCCCACGGCUCAACCGUGGAACUGCCUUUGAUACUGCACAACUUGAAUCCGGGAGAGGGUGGCGGAAUUCCAGGUGUAGGAGUGAAAUCCGUAGAUAUCUGGAGGAACACCGAUGGCGAAGGCAAUCCCCUGGGCCUGCACUGACGCUCAUGCACGAAAGCGUGGGGAGCAAACA